AGGACCAAAGUACUUUUAAAAAGAAGAAAAGAGGAGGGACGGAAGAGGCGGUAAAACCAAUGUCGGCCUCUUGAAAUCUUGAUGACCGGAAGCUCUUCACUGCUGCCUGCCUUGAUGCACCUGAGUACUGACUUCUGGGUGCUCCUGACCCACGCUCUUCUGGAGAGGCCCAGGGGAUGCUAAAAGCAUCCAGCUCAGGGCCUCACACCUGAGGGGCUAAUAGACAAUUUCCCAUCCACCUGUCAGUGUGGAUAGCCAGCGCUGCUUCCCACAGGGCUGGACUCACUUGGUUUCCUUUCCUCUCACUGUGCAGCAAUGAGUCUGGUCAGGAGCUUCAAAAGCCAGGAGUGACCAGGAACCGGACCUAGAUACCAGAGAAAGAUUCCGGGAGAGGUAGACAUCUUCAUCCAGAGAGCCAUAGACAGCCUCUGCUCAUUGAACAUGAGGGAGAAUUGCACUGACACCUUUAAGAGGUGAGAGGUUUUAAGAUUAUGAGGACUGCUAUUAAAAGGGAUUGUUGGAUGUCAGGUAUGUCCUUUCUCUUGUACCCAACCAUGAGGCCAGCAGUCACCUUUGUCACAGCUCAUAUGCUGGAGUGUACUAUGCUGUUACAGACCCAAGGCAAUAGGACCAUUCAGCCAUGGUCUGAAUCUCUGACAGCUCUGGCCAAAAUAAGCUUUCCUUUUUUAAUCUGUUUGAUCUCAAGUGUUUAGUCACAGUUACAGAUGCAGGCUAACAGUGACUGAGAGUCCAGGUGCAGAUGCUCAUUCUUUCUCAAGUGCCAUCUUCCUUGCAGGAAGCAGAGGACAGAGGAAACAGUCCAGGCAGUGGAGUCACCACCAAAUGAAAGACAGACAGCGGAGCAACCGAUUGGAGUUCCUGAGCCUGUUCUAGCAGAGGCCAUAAGAUUAUUGAUAAGAUAAGAAGAAGAAGAAGAAGAAGAAGAAGAAGAAGAAGAAGAAGAAGAAGAAGAAGAAGAAGAAGAAGAAGAAGAAGAAGAAAUGAGAGGUCAUACUAGGGAGAACAAGCUGAGGGCUGCAGAUACUGUGACUCAAGUCAGCCUCACUUUUGGGAUACUCCUGUCUGAGAAAAUGACACAGGAGGUGAGUCACACAGGCCAGCACAGAUGCUGGUCUCAGAAGAGAGGAUGCAGGGGUGAGAUGUAGGGGAGGUAGCAAAUCUGGUAUGAGGGUGAGCUGUAAAAAUAACCAUUAGCCCAACCCAGUUGAUCUACAUCACAGCUUGAAAGAAGAAACACCCUUGGUUAUAUGUUACCUUUGGUUAGAAGACACGUCCUAGUUUCAGAGAUUAUUUAAAUGUGGGGGAAAUGUGUCUCAGAAUAGAUAAAGCAUGGAAACCCAUGUUACAAGUCAGUGUCACUUGCCUCCCAAGUAUGAGGAUCAACAUUCAGACUCCUGGAUCCCAACAUAUUCUGCGUGUUUGUGGGGAUGGCAGUCCGUGUACGACUCAAGCCUUGAAAGGCAAAGGCAAGAUCCUCCGAGCAGGCUGGCUACUGAGAUGAGCCAGAAGGGGGACUCGACAUCUGACUGAGAGGCCCUGUUUCGCCAAAUGAGGUGAAGGGUGGCUAAGGAUCGUUCCCAACAUCAGCCUUGGGCCUCUGAGCGUGCCCACAAUAGCUAAACACGUGCAAGCACACACUGUAAAGAAAUCGGUGUCAGCAUAUUCCCAUGGGAGGACGCAUGUCAUUACCAGGUGAAGGACGGAUGGAUGGAUGGAUGGACGGA
rnacentral:sRNA from 1 species